rnacentral:rRNA from 1 species
AUUGAAAGCUGGCGGCAGGCCUAACACAUGCAAGUCGAGCGGAGCGGCGGACGGGUGAGUAAUGCCUAGGAAUCUGCCUGGUAGUGGGGGAUAACGUCCGGAAAUGGGCGCUAAUACCGCAUACUAUCAGAUGAGCCUAGGUCGGAUUAGCUAGGUGGUGGGGUAAAGGCCUACCAAGGCGACGAGCCGUAACUGGUCUGAGAGGAUGAGCAGUCAAACUGGAACUGAGACACGGUCCAGACUCCUACGGGAGGCAGCAGUGGGGAAUAUUGGGCAAUGGGCGAAAGCCUGAUCCAGCCAUGCCGCUUGUGUGAAGAAGGUCUUCGGAUUGUAAAGCACUUUAAGUUGUGAGGCGUUACCAACAGAAUACGCACCGGCUAACUUCGUGCCAGCCGCCGCGGUAAUAC